rnacentral:lncRNA from 1 species
AGGGAGAGCUGGGCACCACGUGCACCCCAGGACAGGAGCCGUGUGUGGUUGGUGUAGGGGUAAAAAGAGAAAAAGGACUAGGAAGGAGGUGGGAUUCUGCAGCUGAGGUUUGUGCCCUCCGUGUGCUGGAGGUCAGGUUAACUGCUCACCAAAUAAAAGAACAAGGGAGAAAUUAACUCAUCAGGAGACAGAAGACAGGGUGCUGCACAGCAGGGAGGCGCAACUCAGCCGAAACCUUUAUUUGGAAUAACAAAAAAAAAAAAAGAAGCACACAAAUGAGUUCACAAAACCUUUUUUUUUAUUAUUAUUUGAAACUGGAAAAGGCUCCUGGGGUUAUAAUGGUUAGGUGUAAAAGUAACACACACGUUUUGCUCAGCUUUCUGAUAGCUGGGAUGAAGCAGGCCCAGCGUUGCAAAGUCCCGUCUGGCUUUCGUACAGCCCCGUUCCUCUCACACCCACAAACAACAAAAAAAAAAAAAAGGGCAGGCAGAGCCCCAGCCCUCCGCUGGGGGAACAAGCAGGGCAGGCGAGCUAUUUAAACUCCUCUUAUCGUGUUCCACACAGAGGGCUGGGGCACGAAAGUGGAGGUGUUGGAUGUCAAAUGGCAUUUGGGAAAGAAAAGCUCACCUUCUCCCCCUGCACCGCCCUCUGUGCGAGGCAGGGCUCUGCUCUUUCCUCCUCCUUUUUAAUAAAUAACAGCCACUUCGGAGAGACUUGUUUGCACGCCGAGCCUGCUGGAGGUGCCCAGAUUAGUCCCUUGGUGUCACGUUGAAGCGCUGAGUGCAAAUACACACCACCAGGGCACGCCUGCUCAGAGGAAGGAGCAGCAUUAGUCCACGGAAAAAAAAGUGCAGCUUGCUUUAAUUGAGCUAGGGAACGCAGCUGAUCCGAGUGCUCUUCUCCUUGAAAAAUCAAAAAGGCUGCAAUCCAAGCGAAAACCGGAGUCCUACAUUUUAAUUCAGCACAGAAAAGGUCAGUGGCACUCACGUGGUGGUGGCUUAUCUCCCCCUGCACAGCCUGACCACGCACCUUGACCACGUCCGUGUCCCAGCAGGGCAUCCUCGGGCAGCUGAACGCAGCAGCAGCUUGCUGGCCACCCGAGCAAGCAGCCAUGAGACAGUCCAUACAUCAUCACCCCCUAAAUUAGCAAGCUGAGGUUAUACCACCCAUUUCCACACAACACCCAACACUCCCAUGAAGUCCCACUCAUUUUUUAUUAAUAAAAAGCAAUAAAAAGCCGUCCUUCUCUGAAAGCAAACACUGAGCUGCCUGCCUUUUUUUUUUUCUCUCCUAUAUUUUACACCUCCUAGCAAGCUUCCACAUGGAUUUGCUUUCUCCCCAGCACAAGUUUCCUACUUCAUUGCCAUCUCAGUGGCUGCUGUGGAGGCUGGUAGCCAAAGCUGAAGUAAUUCUGUCCAUCCUCCUCCAUCCAAACAAACACCUGGCGAGCCCGUGCAGACUGAAAUAGGUCUCCUGCAACCACAGCGCUCGAUCACGGCGUAUUUAUAGCUCUGAAAUCAGCCCCAGCACAAACAAACUGGGUGGAUCUUUGAUGCUUCUGUUUCCCAGCUGGCCAAACCCCCGUGUUUUGGCAACAGAGCACGCGCAGCUCGAGCACGUCAGUCACUUGCUUAAUGCUCCUAAAUUAGAAUUAAGCCCUAGGUCCUGCUGUGGUUAUUUGGGCAAGGCUGCUCUGCAACCUAAUUGGAAAGGCUUUUCUUCCCAAAUCCUUCCACCAAGAGGUUUCUUAACCCCGACAAGGUGAGUCCCACCUUCCCCAGCAUCUGGAAUCAAGAUUUAAGGACAAUUGUCUCCAAGUUUUUCUAUAGAAGGGCACAGCAGCAGCAGAAAUUGCUGCUAGAAUUGCUCGGCUGGCAGCAUCCACCACGAACCUGGGCACACUGCUAAUCCUGCCCAUUUUAACAAUUCACCCGCAGAUGCCAAAAUUUUGCUCCUCCUGCUCGUUCCCCUCUCCCAGAGCUGAAGUCAGGACUCCCCGUGGCCUCAUUCUGCUUUUCUGACACAAACAGAUCCAAAGGACCCAUCGGAGGCGCAGGAGCACACAAUAUUUAUGCCAGUCUCUCCAGAUUCACCAUCCUGCCAGCUUUCCUCGCUCAAAGCGGAGAAAAUCCGGCUCCUGAAAUACCCCCCACAAAAGCCUGCAAGGCUUUGAGGAGUAGAAGAGGGGAAGGGAAAGGAACGGAGAAGCAUUAAUACCAAAUUUGCUCUUUUCAUCUGCCUUUGCUCUAGACAGAAUAAAGCCAGCGUGUACUAGCAGCUCUGCCUCUAAUCAGGGCUGGCACACUGACAUUUUGAGGCCAGGCGGCGCACCACAAAGGUGCUCCUACAAAGGCAGAGCUGACGUCUGAGCGGCUCCCGCAGCACUCCCUGCCUCUGCAAAGCCUCCUCCCCGGGGCAGACAAGCAGGUCUGGCCUCCAGAAGGCAGAUCCUGACCUCUGCCAGCAAACAGGUCCAGGAGUGACGAGCUGGAAGCAGAGCAGAGGCACAAGGCGUGCAGAGAGCAGCCCGACAGGUCCUCCCCCUGCACAGACCUGAGCAAAGCACUCCUGCCAUCUGCUGCCUGAGGGCUCGCACCCUCAGCAGGCUCCUGAUAGAUAGGAAAGGUGAGCUGCGACUUCACGAAGCGUUUGAUGGCACGGCGGGGAAUCACACCUACACCUCUGCACGCUCAGCAAACCCGACACAGCAAGCUCAGGGAGGAGAGCAACAAAAACGGCUGGACUUACAGGGCUGGGACUCGGGGCUCCGGCCAAGCGCCUGUAGCGCAUCAGGACAGGCUGGGUUUUUAAGCUGAGAAAGCCAAAACCUUGAUUAUUAAGUCAGUCGUGUAAAAUUUCAUUUUCAUCUUUAUGUUUUUCAGGUGAGCGGGGAUGUUGAAGGAAGGAGGAACCCACAAAUCAGGACCAUAGAUAAAAUAGCAAUGGGAGCAGAGAUAGUCUUAGGACAAGGGAUUAAAACAGCUGCCCAAAGGACCUCUCUCAUCACCUGAGGCUCUCUUAGGAGAGCCCAAAACAGCUUUCUCACUGGCUGCACCAGCCUGGCACCGAGCUCCAAGAUAAAUCAGCCACCCGGGUGCUAAACAGGCUCCUAAUGUCUUCAGGUAUCCCUGAUUUGCAUAACGAAGCUGGAAACUUGUGUCUGUGGCAUUAAGCACGUGCUUUUCUCCCUUACACAGCUCAUCAGCCAGAGCAAGGGGCUCAGGUGCC